rfam:Capsicum annuum cultivar Zunla-1 chromosome 12, whole genome shotgun sequence
UGAUGAUGGUGAGGGAAAUUUCUAAGCAUACUUUAAAAUCUCUCCCAAGCUUGGUAGAUAUUCUCUCCUUCUUUAUGUCUAAAACUCAGAAUCCCAUUUCUCAACCG